CGAAAUGUAAAAAAUGAAGUGAAGUAAUUCUAGCUUCUCUGACGCCCUAUAAAGACAAAGAGGAUUUGCCACCUGGAAAAUAAUGAUCCCGAGUGAAUGGAUGGAAAAGGUAGCACCUGCAAACCAGUUAAAUAUAUAACCGUUGAUAAAAAAUAAAGGCAAAAAAUUGCUUCGGGUAUGCAUAAAUAGGAGAAUCUACGAACUCGCUAAGAAUAUAACCGUUUCAACAUGGACUGACGAUAGUCAUAGUCGUAGCCAGAGAGGGAAUCCUCUGAAAAUUAUAUAUUCUCGUUAGAACCUAUAGUUCUAUAUGGUGG